CCGGCGCACGGGUGAGUAACACGUAUGCAAUCCACCCGUAACAGGGGGAUAACCCGGAGAAAUCCGGACUAAUACCCCAUAAUAUGGGCGCUCCGCAUGGAGAGCCCAUUAAAGAGAGCAAUUUUGGUUACAGACGAGCAUGCGCUCCAUUAGCCAGUUGGCGGGGUAACGGCCCACCAAAGCGACGAUGGAUAGGGGUUCUGAGAGGAAGGUCCCCCACAUUGGAACUGAGACACGGUCCAA
rnacentral:rRNA from 1 species